CGUUAAAGAAAGUUGAUGUUUUUUUUCUAUUGGUUUUAAAACGUACCUACAAGAUUAUGAUUUUUCAUUUUAUUUUCUUUGUUGUAGGUAAAUGGUAAAGUAGAAAGAAAAGUUAUCUUUAUCGUUAUCUAAAUUCGUACCUACUAAAUGUGAUGUAAAUUACAAUCAGAAAAAAUGGAUCUAGCUAAAUCUCUAUUUAGCUCACGCGAUCAUGUGGGAUAUGUAGGGCGUGAAGAACAUGAACGUAAAAUCAGUGCAGCACUAGCAGACGACGAUCCGGAAGAUAUUAUUGAUGCCAUUCGGGGCAUGAACGUCGCUGACGAACUACUACCAGCGCCUGGGGGACCUUUUUCUGCUCUCACAGCAAGUAUGGUGCCUCAGGAUAUUAUGGCAAAACUUGCACAGCCAGAAUCCGAAGGACAUGGCGGUGGGCUCCCCGACUAUAGAUUUGAUGAGUUUGGUUUCUGUGUGGACGAAGAAGACGGCCCCGAACAAAGCUCCAACAAGUUACUAGCAAACGUAUUUGUGGAAGAUGACCAACACCGUCUCCAGUGGGAAUUCUACAGCAAGGAAAUAAAUUUUUCGGAAAAUGAGAAUAAAUUAGAGAAAACUGAUAAACUCCAGAGAAUGGUUAAGGACGGUGUUCCCCACUCAUUACGGCCUCAAGUCUGGAUGCAUUUAUGUGGUGCUAAUAAAAAACGAGCUUCCACAGAAAUUACUUAUCAUGAAAUUGUAAGAGCGUCUAGUGAUGACGGAUUAGUCACUAGCAAACAAAUAGAGAAAGAUUUAGUUCAGAUAUUACCUAAUAAUGUGUGUUUCUCACAUCCAACAAGCACAGGAGUGCCACGACUGCGGAGAAUUCUUCGAGCAUUAGCUUGGUUGUAUCCUGAUAUUGGUUAUUGUCAAGGUACAGGCAUGAUUGCAGCAUCUCUUCUGUUGCUUAUGGAGGAAGAAGAAGCAUUUUGGAUAAUGUGUACCACUGUAGAAGAUCUCUUGCCCGCAUCAUAUUACUCUUCCACAUUGAUUGGCAUACAAGCAGAUCAAAAAGUCCUCAGAAGCUUAAUCUCCACAUACUUACCAGGAAUUGAUCAAGUAUUGAAUGCACAUGACAUAGAGCUUUCUCUCAUUACAAUGCACUGGUUCCUUACUUUGUAUGCAAAUAUUGUUCACAUGAAAAUACUGCUUAGGAUUUGGGAUCUCUUCUUUUUAGAUGGCUCGAUUGUACUUUUCAAAGCCACAUUAGCAAUGUUGAAAAUAAAAGAGAACAGGUUCACUGAGAUAUCAAAUUCUGCUCAGAUUUUUAACACUUUGUCGGAUAUACCAGGUGAAAUUGAUGAUGUUGAUCUUUUAAUAAAAACCAUAGAUGAAGUCUGCGGUGACACUUUAAGUCCAGCUUUGAUUGAAACUCACAGGAGAAGACACUUGGCCUAUUUAAUGGCUGAUCAAGGUGCACUAGUAGGGAAUCCAAAUGCAGUGCCCAAUCUGCCAAAACAACAAUUGCAAAGACGUCAGAUAAAGAGAACCAAAUCAGUUAUUCAGACAAUAUUGUUUGGAGAUGAUACAAAUAAUGAAGAUGCUGUUUCUAAGAAUGUAAAGCAAACUGAGAUUCUUGUUGAUCUCCGGGAGGCAAUCCUGCAAGUGGCGCGUCAUUUUCUUGCCCUCGAACCUCAACUAGCAUCUGAUGUUCAACUAACUGCAGAUUACACAAUGCAGAGUCAUGCAGCUGAUAGAGAAAGGUAUGUAAAUGUCUCCAGAAGCAAAAGACGCAGGGCUAAAGCACUACUAGACUUUGAAAGGAGGGAUGGUGAUGAACUGGGAUUUAGAAAAAAUGAUGUCAUAGAAGUGAUCAGUUCGAGAGAUGAACAUUGUUGGAUUGGCGAGUUAAAUGGCCUAAGAGGCUGGUUCCCUGCACGAUUUGUGAAACUAUUAGAUGAAAAAGGAGUUAAGUAUAGCAGAGCCGGUGAUGAUUCUGUUACGGAGAAAGCAGCUCAUUUAGUAAGGGGAGUCCUAGCUCCUGCAUUUAAAAGGGUUCUACUACAUGGUAUUAAAAAACCUAGUUUCUUAGAUGGGCCAUGUCAUCCAUGGCUAUUUAUAGAGGAAGCAUCUUCAAGAGAGGUAGAAAAAGACUUCAAUUCGGUGUAUAGCCGUUUGGUUCUCUGCAAAACCUACCGCUUAGAUGAAGACGGCAAAGUACUCACACCAGAAGAAUUGCUUUAUAGAUGUGUCCAAGCAAUUAACUUGUCACAUGACAAUGCCCAUGCUCAGAUGGAUGUCAAGUUACGCACAUUAAUAUGUAUGGGUCUGAAUGAAGAAGCGUUACAUUUAUGGUUGGAGGUGCUAUGCUCAUGUGUUGACGUUGUACAGAAAUGGUAUCAUCCCUGGUCAUUUAUCAACUCCCCAGGAUGGGUGCAGAUUAAAUGUGAACUCAGAAUUCUGUCUCAGUUUGGAUUUAAUUUGAACCCUGAUUGGGAGCUGCCUUUGAAGAAAGACACCCAAAACCAACCACUAAAAGAGGGUGUUAGAGAUAUGUUGGUGAAACAUCACUUAUUCUCUUGGGACCUGUAGACUAUAACAUUCCAAAGAUAGCUUAUUUAAAAAAAAAAAGCAGAAUAGCUAGAUUAUAAUAUUUAUUUUAAUUUAUUAUAAGUUAUAGCCUUAUAAUACUUGUUAGAUUAUG